rnacentral:lncRNA from 1 species
AAAUAGACCACGAAAGCAUGUUCGAGCUGUCCAAAGGAGUGCAUGCUUUCUGAGCGGAGGUUGGAGUACCAGGCCUCGACGGCCUUGCGAAGUGUGGCGGAGAAGCCGAUGCAGAGAAGGGCAUCGGUUGCCCCUUGGAUCGUCAUGAGAGCCUUGUAACUCUCCAGAUGAUCAACUGGGUCGGUGGAGCCAUCGUAGGGCUCCACAUGAGG